CGGAGAGGUCCCCGCAAUGUCGACCAGCCCCCAAGGGUCUGUGAGGUUUGGGGGGCACCCUGGUUCUUGAAAGGAAUGACGGUAGGGGGAGUGAUUCAUUUCUGGUUUGAUGAGGUUUCAGGGUGGCAUCAGAAGUCUGGGUCUUUGAUUGGGUUGGUCCGUAGCAGAGGGGCAAGUGUGAGAAGGAGAGGAUAGUGAAAGGGGGAUCUCUUAUUCUCUCUGGGUCUCAGUGUCUCUCCCAGGAUGAAGCCUGCACCGGCAGUGGAAGCAGGGAAGAGGUCAUUGGAGAAAGUCCCCAUAUACACACCCUGUCCCAGCCCAUCAUUGUCACUGUGCCCCAACCCCUCCAUAGACCCCCUCGCAUUCCCCCUGCUCCAUCCCCACCAAGGGCAGCCCCCAGUGGAUCUCCAAGUCCCUCCCAGCCUAGGAGACCUCAGUGAGAGCAGAGUCCUGCUUCUACAGGCAGAGCCCAGCAGGAGCCCCAUCCUCUCUCCCCUCCGGAAACACUGCCUCCAUGUCUCUCUCUCCCUAGGAUUUCCAAACCUGAA
rnacentral:lncRNA from 1 species